rnacentral:rRNA from 1 species
UCGAGAAUUUUUCUCAAUGGGGGAAACCCUGAAGGAGCGACGCCGCGUGGAGGAUGAAGGCUUUCGGGUUGUAAACUCCUGUCAUUUGAGAACAAGGCGGUCGCGUUAACUGCGCGGCCGUUGAUAGUAUCAGAAGAGGAAGAGACGGCUAACUCUGUGCCAGCAGCCGCGGUAAUACAGAGGUCUCAAGCGUUGUUCGGAUUCAUUGGGCGUAAAGGGUGUGUAGGUGGCGCCGUAAGUGGGGUGUGAAAUCUCGGGGCUUAACUCCGAAACUGCAUUCCAUACUGCGGUGCUUGAGGACUGGAGAGGAGACUGGAAUUUACGGUGUAGCAGUGAAAUGCGUAGAUAUCGUAAGGAAGACCAGUGGCGAAGGCGGGUCUCUGGACAGUUCCUGACACUGAGACACGAAGGCCAGGGGAGCAAACGG